UGAACCUAAGCAUUUCAGAUCAACCUCUAGAAGAGAAUGUUACUGAUUAAAGGGGAGGGGGUGUCGUGUAGAAAUAAUUGAGUGACCAAAGCCACAGCUGCUAUCCUGAAAAUAUCUGCUGCUUAACGCUGAAGACCAAAGGAUCAUACAGAUUAUUAUUUCACUUGUAAAGCUCGUCAGAUGAUUGUAACAACACCCUUAGAAUUGUCACUGUCUCAGAAGGACUCAGCAGCUUAGCAGCUAGUUUAAGCAAUGAAAUGAUAAGAGAUUCAGAAACUAAGCAUUCCUCUACCCAUAGAGCAGAGCGACCCAUUCUUCAUUAUUUUGUAGAGGAUGUCUAAUAACACAAGCAUGACCAAGUUUACUAGAAAUACCAUGUUAUUUCAGGAGCAGGUUCACCCGAAAAGGCACAAGAUACUGUGAGAACUUUUCCUUCAUCAAUACUGAUAUCAGAUGGGAGAGCUUCAAUUUUGGGUGGUAUUCCUUUACAAAACAGGAGAAGAAAUAUCAAGUUAGUCUGUUUCCACUAAGCCCUUUUGACAUGCAGCAGGUUUACUCUAGGGACUACUUCAGGAUAUUCAAAGCACUAACUCUACCAAUAAUUGUAUUGCUCACCUCUCAGACCUGAUUUAAGCAUCUUACUAGUUGAACUUUCCAGUUGAGCCACACUAGAUUUCCCCAUAAUACUGCUGGAGCUCAUCUCUACAAAGGAUUCUUUCAUGGAGGACAUGCUUUUGGCAGACAUGCUCGCAAAUUUCAUUUCAGUCAUGCUGCUACUGCUGAAACUGCUGAAUGAAGCCUCUUGUUUAGAAGAAGCCAUUUGAAAGGACUGAGAAGAAAAACUGUCGCGCAUGCUUGCGUCGCCACUUGUCUUCAAUACUACCUCUUUUGGAGGUUCUUCAAUUAGAGCUGGGAGCAUCGCAAACAUAGAAGAAAAACCAAUAACAUCACAUUAACUAAAGAAGUCAUGCAGUCUAUACGGUUAAUUUCACAGAAAUGAAGAGCGCAUUGUUUGCUUUCAAUGGAAAACUGCAGUGGAGAAUAAAAUUCUUUACGAUCAUUUGAUUCAAGAUGUCCAAGUUACAAAUGCUAAUUUGUAAAUGAAACAAGUAGGAAGCAGAACUGUUACUAGUAUAUAUGAGCUUGAAGGAAAAACAUACUUAAGAAGAAAUAGGUCAUCACACAGCAUUUCCUAUUAAAGCUAUUAGUAGAAUUUGA